UGGUUCACUCUCAAACUCAGAAUUAAUGCGUUCAUCUCCAGGCCAUGGUGGUGCAUCGUAGUUAGCUUCUUCGUCAGAGAAAUUAUGGCUUAGUUUGUCUUGUUUGAAUCCAUUGAGACUGGACUCAUAUUGACUUGCUUCUUCUUCUGAAUAGUCUUUCAUGUCUACAAUCCUUCAAGAUUCUCUUCCACAAAACAAAAGAAAGAAAAAAAGAUUAAGAUAGUAUCAAGCAAAGAUAAAACAAGAAAGAAAAUAACAAAUAUGUAACAACCCAUCCCGUGGGAACCCAUCGACCCUAACCUCUCUCCUGGGGGCCCAAACUGCGCAGCCCACUUGCUCGCAGCCUCCUG
rnacentral:lncRNA from 1 species